rnacentral:rRNA from 1 species
CAGUCGCCGCGGGAAUACGUAGGGUCCGAGCGUUGUCCGGAAUUAUUGGGCGUAAAGGGCUCGUAGGCGGUUUGUCGCGUCGGGAGUGAAAACCAGCAGCUUAACUGCUGGCCUGCUUUCGAUACGGGCAGACUUGAGGCAUUCAGGGGAGAACGGAAUUCCUGUGUAGCGGUGAAAUGCGCAGAUAUCAGGAGGAACACCGGUGGCGAAGGCGGUUCUCUGGGAAUGUUCUGACGCUGAGGAGCGAAAGUGUGGGGAGCAAACAGGAUUAGAUACCCCAGUAGUCCCUGUCUCUUAUACA